GGACAACCUACCCUACGGAAGGGGAUAACCCCGGGAAACUGGGGAUAAUACCCUAUAGACUAUGGAUGCUGGAAUGCUCUGUAGCCGAAAGGUCCGCCGCCGUAGGAUGGGUCUGCGGCCGAUUAGGUUGUUGUUGGGGUAACGGCCCAACAAGCCUGUAAUCGGUACGGGUUGUGGGAGCAAGAGCCCGGAGAUGGAUUCUGAGACACGAAUCCAGGCCCUACGGGGCGCAGCAGGCGCGAAAACUUUGCAAUGCGGGAAACCGUGACAAGGGAACUCUGAGUGCCCGUUAAAUCGGGCUGUCCAUCGGUUUAAAUAACCGGUGAAGAAAGGGCCGGGCAAGACCGGUGCCAGCCGCCGCGGUAAUACCGGCGGCUCGAGUGGUGGCCACUAUUACUGGGCUUAAAGCGUUCGUAGCUGGUUUGUUAAGUCUCUGGGGAAGUCUUCCGGCUCAACCGGAAGGCGUCUCAGGGAUACUGGCAGACUAGGGACCGGGAGAGGUGAGAGGUACUCCAGGGGUAGGAGUGAAAUCCUGUAAUCCUUGGGGGACCACCUGUGGCGAAGGCGUCUCACCAGAACGGCUCCGACAGUGAGGGACGAAAGCCGGGGGAGCAAACCGGAUUAGAUACCCGGGUAGUCCCAGCUGUAAACGAUGCGCGUUAGGUGUAUCAGUGACCACGAGUCACUGAGGUGCCGAAGAGAAAUCGUGAAACGUGCCGCCUGGGAAGUACGGUCGCAAGGCUGAAACU
rnacentral:rRNA from 1 species